GACGAACGCUGGCGGCGUGCUUAACACAUGCAAGUCGAACGGAAAGGCCCUGCUUUUGUCUGGUGCUCGAGUGGCGAACGGGUGAGUAACACGUGAGUAACCUGCCCUUGACUUUGGGAUAACUUCAGGAAACUGGGGCUAAUACCGGAUAGGAGCUCCUGCUGCAUGGUGGGGGUUGGAAAGUUUCGGCGGUUGGGGAUGGAUUCGCGGCUUAUCAGCUUGUUGGUGGGGGAGUGGCUUACCAAGGCUUUGACGGGUAGCCGGCCUGAGAGGGUGACCGGCCACCUUGGGACUGAGAUACGGCCCAGAGUCCUACGGGAGGCAGCGGUGGGGAAUAUUGCACAAUGGGCGGAAGCCUGAUGCAGCAACGCCGCGUGCGGGAUGACGGCCUUCGGGUUGUAAACCGCUUUCGCCUGUGACGAAGCGUGAGUGACGGUAAUGGGUAAAGAAGCACCGGCUAACUACGUG
rnacentral:rRNA from 1 species